CGAAAACGAAUUCUCUCUUGAGUGGAUCCUGAGUACGACGGAGCACGUGAAAUUCCGUCGGAAUCUGGGAGGACCAUCUCCUAAGGCUAAAUACUCUCUAGUGACCGAUAGUGAACCAGUACCGUGAGGGAAAGGUGAAAAGUACCCCGGAAGGGGAGUGAAAGAGAACUUGAAACCGUGUGCUUACAAGUAGUCAGAGCCCGUUAAUGGGUGAUGGCGUGCCUUUUGUAGAAUGAACCGGCGAGUUACGAUCUGAUGCAAGGUUAAGCAGAAAAUGUGGAGCCGUAGCGAAAGCGAGUCUGAAUAGGGCGAAUGAGUAUUUGGUCGUAGACCCGAAACCAGGUGAUCUACCCUUGGUCAGGUUGAAGUUCAGGUAACACUGAAUGGAGGACCGAACCGACUUACGUUGAAAAGUGAGCGGAUGAACUGAGGGUAGCGGAGAAAUUCCAAUCGAACUUGGAGAUAGCUGGUUCUCUCCGAAAUAGCUUUAGGGCUAGC
rnacentral:rRNA from 1 species